AUUGAACGCUGGCGGCAGGCCUAACACAUGCAAGUCGAACGGUAACAGGAAACAGCUUGCUGUUUCGCUGACGAGUGGCGGACGGGUGAGUAAUGUCUGGGAAACUGCCUGAUGGAGGGGGAUAACUACUGGAAACGGUAGCUAAUACCGCAUAACGUCGCAAGACCAAAGAGGGGGACCUUCGGGCCUCUUGCCAUCGGAUGUGCCCAGAUGGGAUUAGCUAGUAGGUGGGGUAACGGCUCACCUAGGCGACGAUCCCUAGCUGGUCUGAGAGGAUGACCAGCCGAACUGGAACUGAGACACGGUCCAGACUCCUACGGGAGGCAGCAGUGGGGAAUAUUGCACAAUGGGCGCAAGCCUGAUGCAGCCAUGCCGCGUGUAUGAAGAAGGCCUUCGGGUUGUAAAGUACUUUCAGCGGGGAUGAAGGGAGUAAAGUUAAUACCUUUGCUCAUUGACGUUACCCGCAGAAGAAGCACCGGCUAACUCCGUG
rnacentral:rRNA from 1 species